rnacentral:rRNA from 1 species
CGUACACUCCUACGGGAGGCAGCAUUGGGGAAUAUUGGACAAUGGGCGCAAGCCUGAUCCAGCCAUGCCGCGUGAGUGAUGAAGGCCCUAGGGUUGUAAAGCUCUUUCACCGGUGAAGAUAAUGACGGUAACCGGAGAAGAAGCCCCGACUAACUUCGUGCCAGCAGCCGCGGUAAUACGAAGGGGGCUAGCGUUGUUCGGAUUUACUGGGCGUAAAGCGCACGUAGGCGGACUAUUAAGUCAGGGGUGAAAUCCCGGGGCUCAACCCCGGAACUGCCUUUGAUACUGGUAGUCUUGAGUUCGAGAGAGGUGAGUGGAAUUCCGAGUGUAGAGGUGAAAUUCGUAGAUAUUCGGAGGAACACCAGUGGCGAAGGCGGCUCACUGGCUCGAUACUGACGCUGAGGUGCGAAAGCGUGGGGAGCAAACAGGAUUAGAUACCCUUGUAGUCCCAUGAU